AAUCCACAACAACAAGAGAAAGGCCAGUCACAGAACACAAACCCAAUCCAGUCGGAGAACCCACCCAUGCAUUCAAUUAGAAAAACCUUCCUUCAUGUAGGUGCGGUCGAGCGGAAAAAGCCCAAGAGCUCCCCGCGUGGGGACCACCUACACAGGCAUAUAGCUGCGCACCAGACGGGUUAACAAAGAGCGCCUGUACACAACAUAACAAAGCUUAAU
rnacentral:lncRNA from 1 species